GACGAACGCUGGCGGCGUGCCUAAUACAUGCCAGUUGAGCGAUGAAGAUUGGUGCUUGCACCAAUUUGAAGAGCAGCGAACGGGUGAGUAACGCGUGGGGAAUCUGCCUUUGAGCGGGGGACAACAUUUGGAAACGAAUGCUAAUACCGCAUAACAACUUUAAACAUAAGUUUUAAGUUUGAAAGAUGCAAUUGCAUCACUCAAAGAUGAUCCCGCGUUGUAUUAGCUAGUUGGUGAGGUAAAGGCUCACCAAGGCGAUGAUACAUAGCCGACCUGGGAGGGUGAUCGGCCACAUUGGGACUGAGACACGGCCCAAACUCCUACGGGAGGCAGCAGUAGGGAAUCUUCGGCAAUGGACGAAAGUCUGACCGAGCAACGCCGCGUGAGGGAAGAAGGUUUUCGGAUCGUAAAACUCUGUUGGUAGAGAAGAACGUUGGUGAGAGUGGAAAGCUCAUCAAGUGACGGUAACUACCCAGAAAGGGACGGCUAACUACGUG
rnacentral:rRNA from 1 species